rnacentral:rRNA from 1 species
GUGUCAGCAGCCGCGGUAAUACGGAGGGUCCGAGCGUUAUCCGGAAUUAUUGGGUUUAAAGGGUCCGCAGGCGGGCCAGUAAGUCAGGGGUGAAAGUUUGCGGCUUAACCGUAAAAUUGCCUUUGAUACUGCUGGUCUUGAGUUGCGGUGAAGUGGCCGGAAUAUGUGGUGUAGCGGUGAAAUGCAUAGAUAUUACAUAGAAUACCGAUUGCGAAGGCAGGUUACUAACCAUAUACUGACGCUGAUGGACGAAAGCGUGGGGAACGAACAGGAUUAGAUACCCUUGUAGUCC